rnacentral:tRNA from 1 species
GCCUGCCUGUCACGCAGGAGAUCGCGGGUUCGAUUCCCGUCGAGACCG